AGGGAUUGGAGAAAGAUCCUGAUCUUUAUUACGGGUGAAGAAGACCAGGUGUUCAAUUCAUUUGAUCUUCA
rnacentral:tRNA from 1 species